GCCGACUUAGCUCAGUUGGUAGAGCACCCGCCUUGUAAGCGGACGGUCGUCAGUUCAAAUCUGACAGUCGGCUCCA
rnacentral:tRNA from 1 species